rnacentral:rRNA from 1 species
CCUACGGGGAGCAGCAGUGAGGAAUAUUGGUCAAUGGGCGGGAGCCUGAACCAGCCAAGUCGCGUGAGGGAAGACGGUCCUAUGGAUUGUAAACCUCUUUAGGCGGGGAGCAAUGCCGGGCACGCGUGCCCGGAGGGAGAGUACCCGCAGAAUAAGCAUCGGCUAACUCCGUGCCAGCAGCCGCGGUAAUACGGAGGAUGCGAGCGUUAUCCGGAUUUAUUGGGUUUAAAGGGUGCGUAGGCGGAUUUUUAAGUCAGCGGUAAAAUGUCCGGGCUCAACCCGGGCCGGCCGUUGAAACUGGGGAGCUUGAGUGGGCGAGAAGUAUGCGGAAUGCGGGGUGUAGCGGUGAAAUGCAUAGAUAUCACGAAGAACUCCGAUUGCGAAGGCAGCAUACCGGCGCCCGACUGACGCUGAGGCACGAAAGCGUGGGGAUCGAACAGGAUUAGAUACCCGGGUAGUC